rnacentral:rRNA from 1 species
GGCGAUGACAAAGACAUAGUCAUUUUGAAAAUUGUGGUCCGUGAUCAUGAAUUGUAAUAUUCAAAAUGCAUUGCUAACAAAAUUGCAUAUGUUAGUUUAUUGGAAAGAACAUUACAAAGGGUGAAAAUCCCAUGUGUCAUGUGUAUGUUUUGUGUACAGUGUGCAUUUCAUGAUUCACAUUCAUUGACAAUUGAAUGUAAAGCGAAUGGUAAACUUCAUUUAAACAUAAAUAUGUUGUUGAAAACUUAUAUCGAACAAAUACCAUGAGGGAAAUGUGAAAAGGAUUUUGAAAAGAAAAUUAAAAGAGCUUACAAUUGCUGGAUUGAUAAGCAAACAAAACACACAUGUGUAUGUGCAAGAUUGUUGUCAUGUUGUGCAAUUCAUGCAAAUUAACAUUGCUUUGGUUUUUGUGUAAUUUUGUCAGCUUUGGAAUUGAGAAUGAUUUUUUUGAGUGUGAAUGGAUUGUUGUUUGUUAACAAAGGAAUGCACUUUCAAAAUCAUUGUUUGAUUUGUCAAUCAAGUUUGUGGCGUGUGUUGUGUGUCAAAUUUAAUUAUAUAAUUCACAAAACACAUGAAGUUUGAGCUAUUAAGGCAAUUCUUGUUUUGUUUGACCCGUCUUG